UACGUAGGGGGGCAAGCGUUGUCCGGAAUCAUUGGGCGUAAAGAGCGCGUAGGCGGCCCAGUCAGUCCGCUCUGAAAGUCAGGGGCUUAACCCCUGGAUGCGGGUGGAUACUGCUGGGCUAGAGUCCGGAAGAGGCGAGUGGAAUUCCUGGUGUAGCGGUGAAAUGCGCAGAUAUCAGGAGGAACACCGAUGGCGAAGGCAGCUCGCUGGGACGGGUACUGACGCUGGAGGCGCGAAAGCCGUGGGGGAGGCAAACAGGG
rnacentral:rRNA from 1 species